rnacentral:lncRNA from 1 species
UGGGGUCUGUAUGGGGUCUGUGGGGUCUGUAUGGGGUCUGUGUGACCCUAUGGGGUCUGUAUGGGGUCUGUAUGGGGUCUGUGGGACCCUAUGGGGUCUGUAUGGGGUCUGUGGGGUCUGUAUGGGGUCUGUGGGACCCUAUGGGGUCUGUAUGGGGUCUGUGUGACCCUAUGGGGUCUGUAUGGGGUCUGUAUGGGGUCUGUGGGGUCUGUAUGGGGUCUGUAUGGGGUCUGUGUGGGGUCUGUGCGACCCUAUGGGGUCUGUAUGGGGUCUGUAUGGGAUCUCUGUGUCCCUAUGGGGUCUGUAUGGGGUCUGUAUGGGGUCUGUGGGACCCUAUGGGGUUUGUGUGGGGUCUGUGUGUCCCUAUGGGGUCUGUAUGGGGUCUGUGGGGUCUGUGUGACCCUAUGGGGUCUGUAUGGGGUCUGUGGGGUCUGUAUGGGAUCUGUGUGUCCCUAUGGGGUCUGUGGGGUCUGUAUGGGAUCUGUGUGACCCUAUGGGGUCUGUAUGGGAUCUGGGGGUCUCUGUUUCUCCCUAUGGGGUCUGUAGGGUCAGUAUGGGAUCUGUGUGACCCUAUGGGGUCUGUAUGGGAUCUGGGGGUCUCUGUGUGUCCCUAUGGGGUCUGUGGGGUCUGUAUGGGAUCUGUGGGUCUCUGUGUGUCCCUAUGGGGUCUCUGGGGUCUGUAUGGGCUCUGUGGGACCCUAUGGGGUCUGUGGGUCUCUGUGGGACCCUAUGGGGUCUGUAUGGGGUCUGUGGGACCCUAUGGGGUCUGUGGGGUCUGUAUGGGGUCUGUAUGGGGUCUGUAUGGGGUCUGUGUGACCCUAUGGGGUCUGUGUGACCCUAUGGGGUCUGUAUGGGGUCUGUGGGGUCUGUAUGGGGUCUGUGUGACCCUAUGGGGUCUGUAUGGGGUCUGUGUGACCCUAUGGGGUCUGUAUGGGAUCUGGGGGUCUCUGUGUGUCUCUAUGGGGUCUCUGGGGUCUGUAUGGGAUCUGUGGGUCUCUAUAGGGUCUCUAUGUCUUCUUAUGGGUCCCAGUGGUGUCUCUAUGUGUCUUUGUGGAAUCUCUGUGUCCCUAUGAGUCUCUAUGGGGUUCCUUUGUGCUCUAUGGGUCUCUGUGUCUCCCUGUGUCUGUCCGUCCCUAUGGGGCGCCCCACAAGUUCCGUCCCACCCCACAGGACUCCAAGAGCAGCCUGACCCCGCUGCACAUCGCAGUCAGGGGGGGGAACCUCGGCCUGGCCCAGCUCCUCCUGCGCCAGCCCCGGGGGGGGGCCCGGCUGGUCAACAUGCAGGUGGGUGUGGGGCGGGUAUGGGGCGGGUAUGGGGCAGCUAUGGGUCACACUGUCCCCAUUGUCCCCACAGGCUGUGGGUGGUUAUGGGGCAGUUAUGGGGCAGUUAUGGGGCAGCUAUGGGUGGUUAUGGGGCAGUUAUGGGUUGGUUAUGUGUUGGUUAUGGGGCAGCUAUGGGGCAGUUAUGGGGCAGUUAUGGGGCAGCUAUGGGUCACACCGUGUCCCCAUUGUCCCCACAGGCUAUGGGUUGGUUAUGGGGCAGCUAUGGGGCGGCUAUGGGGUGGUUAUGGGGCAGCUAUGGGGCAGCUAUGGGGCAGCUAUGGGUCACACCGUGUCCCCAUUGUUCCCCCAUAGGCUAUGGGUAGUUAUGGGGCAGCUAUGGGGCAGCUAUGGGGCAGUUAUGGGUUGGUUAUGGGGCAGCUAUGGGGCAGCUAUGGGUUGGUUAUGGGGCAGCUAUGGGUCACACCGUUGUCCCGCAGGCUCACGGUCAGUCCGCCCUGCACAUGGCUGCAGCGCUGCGGGGGGGGCAGCAGGUGGCGCUGCUGAAGCUGCUGCUGCGACACGGGGCGGAUCCGGCGCUGCCCAACAUGGAGAAUCAGCGGCCCCGAGCGCUGCUGCCAGCGGGGGAACAGGGAGAGCAGGUGGGAACAGCCAAAAACACCGGAUCUGAGCCCAAAAAUCCUUCAUAUGGACCCAAAAAUAACAGAUCUGAGCCCAAAAUAACACAAAUGAGCCCAAAAACACCAGAUCUGAGCCCAAAAUAACAGAUCUGAGCCCAAAAACACCACAUCU